UACAGAGGUCUCAAGCGUUGUUCGGAUUCAUUGGGCGUAAAGGGUGCGUAGGCGGCGCGGUAAGUCGGGUGUGAAAUCUCGGAGCUUAACUCCGAAAACUGCAUUCGAUACUGCCGUGCUUGAGGACUGGAGAGGAGACUGGAAUUUACGGUGUAGCGGUGAAAAUGCGUAGAUAUCGUAAGGAAGACCAGUGGCGAAGGCGGGGUCU
rnacentral:rRNA from 1 species